CGAACGCUGGCGGCGUGCUUAACACAUGCAAGUCGAACGCGAACGAGUUCUUCGGAACUUUAGUAGAGUGGCGCACGGGUGAGUAACGCGUAAGUAAUCUACCCUCGCAUUUGGGAUAACCCACCGAAAGGUGUGCUAAUACCGGAUACGUCUGAAAUAAUAACUUUUUUUCAGAGAAAGAUGGCCUCUUCAUGAAAGCUAUUGUGCGGGGAGGAGCUUGCGUACCAUUAGCUAGUUGGUAGGGUAAUGGCCUACCAAGGCAACGAUGGUUAGCGGGUCUGAGAGGAUGAUCCGCCACACUGGAACUGGAACACGGACCAGACUCCUACGGGAGGCAGCAGUGAGGAAUAUUGCGCAAUGGGGGAAACCCUGACGCAGCGACGCCGCGUGGAUGAUGAAGGCCUUCGGGUUGUAAAAUCCUGUCAGAUGGGAAGAAGUGCUAUAGUCUUAAUACGGUUAUAGUUUGACGGUACCAUCAAAGGAAGCACCGGCUAACUCC
rnacentral:rRNA from 1 species